rnacentral:rRNA from 1 species
UAACACAUGCAAGUCGAGGGGUAGCAGGGUAGCAAUACCGCUGACGACCGGCGCACGGGUGAGUAACACGUAUCCAACCUUCCCAUAACUCGGGGAUAGCCUUUCGAAAGAAAGAUUAAUACCCGAUAGUACUUUAUUAAGGCAUCUUAAGAAAGUUAAAGAUUUAUUGGUUAUGGAUGGGGAUGCGUUCCAUUAGAUAGUUGGUGAGGUAACGGCUCACCAAGUCUUCGAUGGAUAGGGGUUCUGAGAGGAAGGUCCCCCACAUUGGUACUGAGACACGGACCAAACUCCUACGGGAGGCAGCAGUGAGGAAUAUUGGUCAAUGGGCGAGAGCCUGAACCAGCCA